ACCAGAUAAUAUUUGUCCCUUACUAGGAACUUUUUUCAUUGCCUUGUUUUUCAGUUCUGGUUCCCUUACAUAAGCAAGAGUAUAAGUAUUUUUCCAGAAGAACACAGGUGCAGGGUUGGACAAUAUGAGAAGUUGCACCAAAGCUCGGAGCUAAGUAUUCUUUAUGAACCUGGAUUCUAAUCCUUCGUCAGUCAGAGGGAACCAUGAGAAUUGAAAUGAAAUAUUCGUACAAACUGGGGCUCGCUAAUUUGGUAGACUACAUGUGGAGUCAUUACUUCUGGCUAGAGAUCUAGAUUUGAAGCUGCAUGAAGGGUUUAGCCAGAGAAACGUAACAAUAAACAAAUCAUUCUGUCUGCUGAGUAAACUGAGUUGGGAAAAUCUAGACUGGAGGUGGAAGACCAGUCUGUAACUUCAGGCCUCAAGUAAGGAAAUGUCCACUGGGAUAGACAACAAUGAAUGGAAUGAAAAGCAUCAAGGAGGCAGAGUCACCAGGACUUAAUGAGUGAUUUGAUUUGGUGGGAAAGAGAAGGAGAAGGUAAGGAUGAUUGGCUGGCUCGAGGAAUGAUGUAACUGGUGGCACCAUUUGCUGAGAUGGGGAAUGCUGGAGGAAGAGGCUGGUGUCGAGGCUGCAGAUGAGUUAAAUUGGGGGCAGAGAUUUCUAAAUCACAGGCUUAAAGUAAUAAUUGGAACAGUCUAGUAAAUGAGAUCACACAGGCAGGUGUAGAAGCAAAAGAGAACAUACAAAUAUAAACAUAAAAGUAAUUGCUGUUAUUACAAGAUGUUUAUGGAGAAACCGUAAAACCAUUUAACAAACCUUUUAAGAUCAAAAGCUUAAUACAGUACUUUGAAGAAAAUUAGACCCCGACUUCAAGUUAUAAGAUGAACUAAUUUUCCCACUUUACCAAGGAACAUUUCAAAGGGGAAAAAUCCUGCUUAGCUGAUACUUAGUUAUAGGGAAAGGAACUAACAUUUAUUGUGGUCUGUUUUUAUGUCUGGUACUUUAUAUCUUAAUCAAUCCCCAAACCUACCAUAUGCAAGUAGAAUUAUUAUUCCUGUUGAUUAAACUGGGGCCUUGAGAUCUAACUUGUUAAGGUCACAGAGCUGGUAAGUGGGCUCACAGGGCCGCCUGAUGCAGGAACACUGGUUCUUUGCACCUUAGUCCUCUGCCUCACUCCUCAACUGACCACAAAGAUUACUUCUAACAAUUACUCCAAAACAGGGGUAGUCAAUUUUAAGGACACAGUACAUGGCAGUAUUACAGACAGCGGCAGGAUAUGACAUCAGCUAGUGGGUUGUGGAGGUUCUCAGAGGGAAAGCAAAUUUGGGCAUGGAAUCUCAGCCAUGAUACCUAAGCAAGUGAGCUAGUCAAAUCAUAUAUUUACUCUACAAAUAUUAUUGUGUGCCUCUACUGUGCCAUUGUUCUAAGCACUAAAGAUAUGGUAUUGAAUAAAACACAUAAAAUUUCCUGUUUUCAUGAAGAAUUAAUAUGCUUUAGGGGAGACAAUAAGUUAUAUAUUGUCCUGCAAGAUAAUACUCGGGAGAAACAGGCGUAGAAAGUGCUAGGAUGCUCAAGCAGUGGUCAGCAAAAGACUCACAAAGUGGGUAACAUUUCAGCAAAGUCAUGAAGGAGGUAAGGGAACAAGCCAUGGACAUCAAGAGGCAAAAUUCCAGGCAGUGGGCAUAGCAAGUGCAAAGGCCCUCAGGCAGGGUACACCUGGCAUGGUAGGGGAGAAGCCAGGAGGCUAGUGUGGCUGGAACACAAGUGGCUUUGUAAGGUACUUGAGGACUUAAAUUUCUACUCUGAGAUCAGAGUUGAGGCAGGAAGGACACUCGAGUUUAAAGAUAUAUGUCCUACACUUAAGGAAUCCAUACUCUAGUGGGAGAGACAAAACAAGACAAAUUAAAUAGUAACAGACAUAAAACAAGUGAUAAUUAGGUGAGAAACUGUGUGACUCAGUUGGAGGACUAUAUCCAUUUAUGAGAAGUUCUGUGAGGGUGAAAAUGAGAAGUGCUUCCUAUCGGGGGAUACUUUAGAGAGGUGGGAUCUGAAAGUAGGGUAAGAUUUAAAUUCAUAAGAGAGGAGGGUGUAAUAUUUAAUAUUACCUCCUGUGUACCAGGUAUUGUAUUGGGUGCUACUGGGGAAUACUGGGGGAUUGUGGGGUACACAACAGAAAAAAAAA